rnacentral:rRNA from 1 species
GAGUUUGAUCGUGGCUCAGGACGAACGCUGGCGGCGUGCUUAACACAUGCAAGUGGAGCGACGAACCAGGGCUUGCCCUGGGGCAGAGCCGCGAACGGGUGAGUAACACGUGGGCAACCUGCCCCGAUGACUGGGACAACCCGAGGAAACUCGGGCUAAUACCGGAUGUGCUCCCUCACAUAAGUGAGACGAGUAAAGGAAGCUUCGGCCUCCGCAUUGGGAUGGGCCCGCGGCCCAUUAGCUUGUUGGUGGGGUAACGCCUACCAAGGCAACGAUGGGUAGCUGGCCUGAGAGGACGAUCAGCCACACUGGGACUGAGACACGGCCCAGACUCCUACGGGAGGCAGCAGUGGGGAAUCUUGCACAAUGCGCGAAAGCGUGAUGCAGCAACGCCGCGUGAGGGAAGACGGCCUCGG